rnacentral:rRNA from 1 species
UACGGAGGGUGCAAGCGUCAUCCGGAUUCACUGGGUUUAAAGGGUGCGUAGGAGGUCAGGUAAGUCAGUGGUGAAAUCUCCGAGCUUAACUCGGAAACUGCCGUUGAUACUAUCUGUCUUGAAUCCCGUGGAGAUGAGCGGAAUAUGUCAUGUAGCGGUGAAAUGCUUAGAUAUGACAUAGAACACCAAUUGCGAAGGCAGCUCGUUACACGAAGAUUGACUCUGAGGCACGAAAGCGUGGGGAUCAAACAGG